AGCAGUGAGGAAUAUUGGUCAAUGGACGAGAGUCUGAACCAGCCAAGUAGCGUGCAGGAUGACGGCCCUAUGGGUUGUAAACUGCUUCUAUAAGGGAAUAAAGUGAGUCUCGUGAGACUUUUUGCAUGUACCUUAUGAAUAAGGACCGGCUAAUUCCGUGCCAGCAGCCGCGGUAAUACGGAAGGUCCGGGCGUUAUCCGGAUUUAUUGGGUUUAAAGGGAGCGUAGGCCGGAGAUUAAGCGUGUUGUGAAAUGUAGACGCUCAACGUCUGCACUGCAGCGCGAACUGGUUUCCUUGAGUACGCACAAAGUGGGCGGAAUUCGUGGUGUAGCGGUGAAAUGCUUAGGUAUCACGAAGAACUCCGAUUGCGAAGGCAGCUCACUGGAGCGCAACUGACGCUGAAGCUCGAAAGUGCGGGUAUCGAACAGGAUUAGAUACCCUGGUAGUCCGCACGGUAAACGAUGGAUGCCCGCUGUUGGUCUGAAUAGGUCAGCGGCCAAGCGAAAGCAUUAAGCAUCCCACCUGGGGAGUACGCCGGCAACGGUGCAACUCAAAUGAAUUGACGGA
rnacentral:rRNA from 1 species